CCUUGUAACUCCUUCCAUCACUGAUGUUCUUCUGUACCGUUAUCCUGCAAACAAGGAACAGCAGACAAUGCAAAGCUAACAGUAUCCCUGGAUAGAGCAGGAUACUCCUCCACUUUGUCUCUCUGAUACUGCAACCUGGAGACAAGUCACUUCUCUAAUGAGGCUGUGCAAACAUCAUGUGUUCCUACGUGGAAAGAAGUGGAGAAGGCCAGGAGCAACAGGACACACAGGUAAUCCAGUGACACUAAGCCUGUGAGUGAGAUGGGACUUUUACCCCCUGGGAUCACUAUUGCAUAAACACAACUGCCACCUUCUAAGGGAUAACUGCCCUGACUGUCAAGCAUUCACAGAGAUUGGAGCAUGGUUAGUGUUACUCAGAGCUUUAGGUUGUGAAGGAACCACAGGAUAAGCUACUGAAUGACACUGCUAGAUUAAAUAUUUGCUGAUGAUAUUCUUUUUCCUAUCUUUCAAUGUCUAGCUGAGAUGAAUGGUUUAUAAUGAUUACUUCUGGAUGUAUUUCUGUAGAGGGAGAGAGGCACUGAUUCCUAAAGAUUGUGUUUCCUCAUUUUGUGUUUUAAAAGCAGAUAAAAUGGGGGAUGCUCCCAUUGUCCAGUUCCCUAGGUUAAGCUACCUUUAUAUAUACAUAUAUAUAUAUAUAUUUUCAUUUUUCUUUUUGGUUUAUCUCUUUAAUGUUACCCACUAAGACUCUCAGAUAUUGCCCCCCAAGCUGCAUUAAUUUUGGUACAAUAACCAGUUAAGAUAAUCCAUCAUUACUGGCAGAGCCCAAUCAAAUUAGGUCUUGUAAUGUCCCAGAGAAAGGUACAAUCCCAGUGGGAAAUGCUCACCAUUAGAGGGAUGAGAUAAAAAAAUAUGGAGGGAAGGGAAACUAGAGAAACAAUUGUGAAAAAUGAUAUUGCUAAAUGUUUUCUUAGGAAAUAACACUGAAACAAGUGAUUUGGAGGAAUUCCACAUUUGUUCUGAGCUAUUAAUUUGUCUGCACAAUGGCAAAGCUAGAGAGUCUAGGGGCCAAGAACAGAAACCAAAACCACUCUCCAAAAAUGUUGGGUGAAUUUCCAGGUAAGAAAUUUGCUUUCAACUCUAUUUACUGGAACACAGAAAAUGAUUCACUUGAUCACAACCAAAGGUCAGUUCAUAUUCUUAACAAUUCUCUGGAACUAAGCCAAAAAUCUGUUGAUCUUUAUCUCAUGUAGUGAAAAUACAAUGUGAAGAUGCCUAGUGAGGGUGGAAUCAACAGCUUACAACAAGAAAAGAUGGAUUUGAGAGAACAUGGGAUACUCAUGGCAGAGAGCUGAAUCAGAUUUCACCACAGAAAUCUUAAAAUACAGAAGAAAAAAAAAAAAGGGGGGGGCAAAAAAAGUUAGAUACCUUUAAAACCAGGGGUAGAAAUUUAUAAAGUAUAAGCAAAAGUCUAAGAACUGCCAGACUAAUUCUUAGCAAUGUGAAAGAUCUCAUUUUAAGUUAUGUGAACAUGAUUUUGGUAGGUUACCUU